rnacentral:misc_RNA from 1 species
AUCACAGAUGAUGAGCUAAUGUCAAUUUGCAAUCUUGCUACUGCUAAUGUCGGGUCUAUAGUCAGGUUGAUGCGAGCAAACACACAGAUGGGGUGUGGUUGGUUUGUUGAUUGUGGCAAUGUUGAUGCUGCAAGCACUGUCCUGACAAAUCUUCGAAGUUGUCCUGGAAUGUUCUUGCAGGUUGAAUUCAGUCAACCAGGAAAGAACUAUACUGUGCCAUUCCCUAUAAAGUCUGACGGCAGCUCUAUGGAGCUUGUAUCGCCCCGAAUAAAACCAGAGAAUCAUGGGUCUACAGUACAAGCUGUACGUUCAUUUGGGGGGGUGGACCCUUUGCAAG